AUUGAACGCUGGCGGCAUGCCUUACACAUGCAAGUCGAACGGCAGCGGGGGAGAAGCUUGCUUUUCCUGCCGGCGAGUGGCGAACGGGUGAGUAAUACAUCGGAACGUGCCCUGUAGUGGGGGAUAACUAGUCGAAAGAUUAGCUAAUACCGCAUACGACCUGAGGGUGAAAGUGGGGGACCGCAAGGCCUCAUGCUAUAGGAGCGGCCGAUGUCUGAUUAGCUAGUUGGUGGGGUAAAGGCCUACCAAGGCGACGAUCAGUAGCUGGUCUGAGAGGACGAGCAGCCACACUGGGACUGGGACACGGCCCAGACUCCUACGGGAGGCAGCAGUGGGGAAUUUUGGACAAUGGGCGAAAGCCUGAUCCAGCAAUGCCGCGUGUGUGAAGAAGGCCUUCGGGUUGUAAAGCACUUUUGUCCGGAAAGAAAUGGCUCUGGUUAAUACCUGGGGUCGAUGACGGUACCGGAAGAAUAAGGACCGGCUAACUACGUGCCAGCCGCCGCCGUAA
rnacentral:rRNA from 1 species